GUGGAGUCAAGCCCUACGAGGCCACGGGACCUGCUGGCCUGCGAGCCUUGGGGUGCUGAUGGGUGUCAUUGGCCGGAGCUCUGCAGAGGCCUCCGGUGGCCUCUCCUUUGGACACAAGCAUCUUGGGAAGCAGGUCAACCAAGGGCACUGGUGACUCCACCUCGUGUUUCCAGGAAAUUCUCAGUGACACGCAGCCUUACCAGUGAAGGUUGGUCCAGGCCUGUGCCGAUGGAGUCACGGCCACGCCCGGCCCUGAGCCGGCCGCAGCCUGCAGAGUGCAGUGUUGAUCCGUGCAUUGAGGGAGGGGCAAGAAGUCAGUCGACAGCCCUGCUGGUGUGGCCCAGCGGCUGAGCGUCAACCCAGGAAACAGGGGGUCACUGGUUCGAUUCCUGGUCUGGACACAUCCCCAGUGGGGGAUAUGCAGGAGGCAGCUGACCAGUGAUUCUCUCUCAUCAAUGAUGUUUCCAUCUCUCCCU